AGGGGUAUGAUGGCCUCAGUUCCGAAAGCCAGCCUAAAGGAGGUGUCUUCGGUUGGAACUCAUCGAGUUGCUGAGUCAAUUGUAAUCUAUACUCCCUAAUUUUUUUUGAUCUCCCCGCCUGAGAUCAAUCACCGAGGUGGUGAUGGUCGAGGAAGAGACUGUUGUAAGAGCUCCAUCCAAAUACCUACAAAAAAUCUUCACUGG
rnacentral:lncRNA from 1 species